UGGAUAGGAGACAAGAAGGCAUCUUCUUGUUUUUAAAAGACCUAGCAAUAGGUAUGCUUAGGGAGGAGCUUGCGUCACAUUAGUUAGUUGGUGGGGUAAAGGCCUACCAAGACUAUGAUGUGUAGCCGGGCUGAGAGGUUGAACGGCCACAUUGGGACUGAGACACGGCCCAAACUCCUACGGGAGGCAGCAGUAGGGAAUUUUCGGCAAUGGAGGAAACUCUGACCGAGCAACGCCGCGUGAACGAUGAAGUAUUUCGGUACGUAAAGUUCUUUUAUUAGGGAAGAAUAAAUGAUGGAAAAAUCAUUCUGACGGUACCUAAUGAAUAAGCCCCGGCUAACUAUGUGCCAGCAGCCGCGGUAAUACAUAGGGGGCAAGCGUUAUCCGGAAUUAUUGGGCGUAAAGGGUGCGUAGGCGGUUAAAUAAGUUUAUGGUCUAAGUGCAAUGCUCAACAUUGUGAUGCUAUAAAAACUGUUUAGCUAGAGUAAGAUAGAGGCAAGUGGAAUUCCAUGUGUAGUGGUAAAAUGCGUAAAUAUAUGGAGGAACACCAGUAGCGAAGGCGGCUUGCUGGGUCUUUACUGACGCUGAGGCACGAAAGCGUGGGGAGCAAACAGGAUUAGAUACCCUGGUAGUCCACGCCGUAAACGAUGAGUACUAAACGUUGGGUAAAACCAGUGUUGAAGUUAACACAUUAAGUACUCCGCCUGAGUAGUACGUACGCAAGUAUGAAACUUAAAGGAAUUGACGGGACUCCGCACAAGCGGUGGAUCAUGUUGUUUAAUUCGAAGGUACCCGAAAAACCUCACCAGGUCUUGACAUGCUUCUGCAAAGCUGUAGAAACACAGUGGAGGUUAUCAGUUGCACAGGUGGUGCAUGGUUGUCGUCAGCUCGUGUCGUGAGAUGUUGGGUUAAGUCCCGCAACGAGCGCAACCCUUAUUGUUAGUUACCAGCACGUAAUGGUGGGGACUUUAGCAAGACUGCCAGUGAUAAAUUGGAGGAAGGUGGGGACGACGUCAAAUCAUCAUGCCCCUUAUGACCUGGGCUACAAACGUGAUACAAUGGCUGUUACAAAGGGUAGCUGAAGCGCAAGUUUUUGGCGAAUCUCAAAAAAACAGUCUCAGUUCGGAUUGAAGUCUGCAACUCGACUUCAUGAAGUUGGAAUCGCUAGUAAUCGCGAAUCAGCAUGUCGCGGUGAAUACGUUCUCGGGGUUUGUACACACCGCCCGUCAAACCACGAAAGUUGGUAAUA
rnacentral:rRNA from 1 species